AUAUUUCUCGUAUCAAUCGCCGCCGUUUUACCGUUUUUAAGAAAUUCUGUUUUUGAGUUCUAAAUCGAUCCUUCUGAAAUUUGAUUCGUUUGGCAGCCGUUCGGAGGUCGAAAUCAAUUCCGUUUGUUUCCCGUGAAAGUAGACUCACGCAUCUACGUUUCUACACCUUUCGUUUGUCAAACGACUCUUCGACUACUCGCGCUCCGGAGUCGAACCAGGGUUAGCUGUUUGCCAAGAUCACGUGGAUAAGCAAGCAGUUUAUGAUUUGAAAGCUGGUCCACUCCGAUUCUUUUGAUUCCUCGGAGGUUUUUAUGUUAUUAAACUAGUUUCUAUUUUUCGAACUCUUAGA